rnacentral:rRNA from 1 species
UACGAAGGGGGCUAGCGUUGUUCGGAAUUACUGGGCGUAAAGCGUGCGCAGGCGGUUUGCUAAGAGAGAUGUGAAAUCCCUCAGCUUAACUGAGGAACAGCGCCCAAAACUACCAUGCUCGAGGGAGAUAGAGGAAUGCGGAACUUAGGGUGGAGCGGUGAAAUGCGUUGAUAUCCUAGGGAACACCGGUGGCGAAAGCGGCAUUCUGGAUCUCUUCUGACGCUGAGGCACGAAAGCCAGGGUAGCAAACGGG